rnacentral:rRNA from 1 species
UACGAGGGGGGCGAGCGUUGUUCGGAAUUAUUGGGCGUAAAGGGUGCGUAGGCGGGUCUUUAAGUCAGGGGUGAAAUCCUGGAGCUCAACUCCAGAACUGCCUUUGAUACUGAGGAUCUUGAGUUCGGGAGAGGCGAGUGGAACUGCGAGUGUAGAGGUGAAAUUCGUAGAUAUUCGCAAGAACACCAGUGGCGAAGGCGGCUCACUGGCCCGAUACUGACGCUGAGGCACGAAAGCGUGGGGAGCAAACAGG